GAGUUUGAUCGUGGCUCAGAUUGAACGCUGGCGGCAUGCCUUACACAUGCAAGUCGAACGGCAGCAUGAUCUAGCUUGCUAGAUUGAUGGCGAGUGGCGAACGGGUGAGUAAUACAUCGGAACGUGCCCUGUAGUGGGGGAUAACUAGUCGAAAGAUUAGCUAAUACCGCAUACGACCUGAGGGUGAAAGUGGGGGACCGCAAGGCCUCAUGCUAUAGGAGCGGCCGAUGUCUGAUUAGCUAGUUGGUGGGGUAAAGGCCCACCAAGGCGACGGAUCAGUAGCUGGUCUGAGAGGACGAUCAGCCACACUGGGACUGAGACACGGCCCAGACUCCUACGGGAGGCAGCAGUGGGGAAUUUUGGACAAUGGGCGAAAGCCUGAUCCAGCAAUGCCGCGUGUGUGAAGAAGGCCUUCGGGUUGUAAGG
rnacentral:rRNA from 1 species